rnacentral:lncRNA from 1 species
AGGCGUUUUGUCGGAGUGGAGUGUCGUGGUUCUUGCUAUUGGUGCUUGUUUUAUAAGUGAAAGUUGAUAUAAGUGAAGUUAUAUAAAUAAGUGUUUACAUCAUUAUCAUCAUGCUCAUAUUCUUGUAAUGGGAUGGACAGUACUCAGAGAAGAAAGAAAAAGAGAGAAGAGGGGGAAAAACAUUCAAAUAUUACUAAUCAGAUGAUGCCAUACUUCCCUAUCUCUACAUACUAUAUCAGCUUCCUCUACAGUUAUUCUUUUCUUCAUAAACAUGCAUCUCUUAUACAGACUCUAACAUCCAUAUGUCACAAAUCCAUUUAUUCUUUCCACUCUAUCCUUGGCCUUCCUUCCCAUAUUUAUCCUCCAAAGCAAGUACAUUCAUCAUAUACUUGCUUUGUUACUUGCUCCUUCCUUAUUUGUUCCACCUGACCAAACUGUCUCAAAAUUGGCUUAUAUACUACCUCUAUCACACUGCUUUUCACUUUGCAC